AUAAAAGUUAUUUAGUUUAUUCAAGAAAUAGCAUAUAAAUUUAAUUAUAAUGUAUCGUACUCUAAACCGACACAGGUAGACAUAUUUAGUAAAUUAAGGCGCUUGAGAGAAUUGUAUUGAAGGAACUCGGCAAAAUGACUCCGUAACUUAGGGAUAAGGAGUA
rnacentral:rRNA from 1 species